rnacentral:rRNA from 1 species
CCCUGCCCUAUGAUUAAUUAAAUGGCUGCAGUAUCAAGACUGUGCAAAGGUAGCAUAAUAAUUAGUCUUUUAAUUGGAGUCUUGUAUGAAUGGGUUAAUGAGAUAUUUAUUUUAUUUUUAAUAUUAUUAAAAUUUAAUUUAUGGGUAAAAAAGCUCAUUUCUUUUUUUGGGACGAUAAGACCCUAUAGAACUUAAUUUUUAAUAUUAUUUACUUUGAAUUUAGAAUUAUAUUUAUUUUAUUUAUUGUUAAUAGUUUAGUUGGGGUGAUUAAUAAAUUUAACUUUAUUUUAAUAUUUCAUUAAUUUGUGUAUUAUUGAUCCAUUAUUUUAUGAUUAAAAGAUCAAGUUACCUUAGGGAUAACAGCGUAAUUUUAAUGGGGAGUUCAUAUCUAUAUUAAUGUUUGCGACCUCGAUGUUGAAUUAAGAUCAAUUUAGGGGGUAG